UGGAAUGGUGGAAGGGGUGGAAAAACCCAAAGACUACAAAUAUGGAACGACUUGUGACACUAACAUGUUAGGAUGCCAUUUAACUAUUUGAAAAGACCCAUGUGGAUUACGCACAAAGACACACGUAAACUAACUUUCCUGGCAUCUUUAAGUGCCCAGUAUUUACCCAAGACUUUGACGUACAUUCUCUUUUACUUCCUAAAACAAGCCUGAGAAGUUAUUUUGAUGUUUGUUUUUUUAAACCUUCAUUUUGUACAGGAGGAAACAGACUCAGACAAAAGCCACGAUUUGCUCGAAGCCACACAGCUCCUCAACGUCAGUUUGGGAUUCUGACCCCAAAUCUCGGAGGUUGGCGUCAUCUGGACACUGAUAAGUGUGGGCAGGCCUUAUCCUGUCAGUGGCGACAAUAAAUAAGAGAAUCCUCACCCUCUGUGUGCCUGGCACGUUGCCAAGUGCCUUCUACACGUUAUCCCAUGUAAGCCUCACAACUUGAAAGGCCCCCAUUUUACAGAUGGGGAAGGUUGCGGCCCAGAGAAGUUAGGCGGCUUGCUGAGAUCAUGGGCCAGGGAAGGAAUCUGGCACCCUCACCCGGGUCCCUGUGGCCUCACGGGGAAUGCGCGCGCUUAACCACUGGGCGGCAUUGCCUGCCCCGCGCGGGGAGUCUGGGGCCAGCCUGGAAGAACCCCGGGGAGCGCCUCCGGCUCCGUCCCCGUGCUCGGCGGGCUCCGGGGCUUCCUGCCAGUCUUCACAGUGUUACAGUCACCGCCCUGGACGGCCUGUCUGCCCUCCCCGCCGCCGGCGAAGGAGGGGCCGCUCGGUCCCGCAUUCGGGACCCCCUCCCGAACGUUUUUCCCGCCCUGUCCCCACCUGGCCAACUCCGGUUUGUCCUGCAGGACGUGUCUCUUAGGCCACUGUGUCCACAGCCCGCUCCCCAUCAGGGGUGUCCGCUCUCCACUGGACUCCCAGCUCCUGUACACCGAACUCUGCCCUCUGCCGGGCCGUUGGGAGGACUCCAUGGAUCCAAACACGGAGCACUUCCUGCCGUGAGCGCCUGGAGCUCAGCAAACGUAACUCCAGAGGUUUGUAGGACCCGCAGCCCCGGCUCUGAGGAGACACUGAGGGGCUGUUACCAGCCCUCCCGUCUGGCUGUGGCCAAUCCCAGAGAUGGCUUUGGUCUGCACAGAUAAAAAGUUUCAGAUGGUCUGUAGUGGCACCCCCUUCUUGUGGGGACAAGAGCAGCUUAACACCGAGGCAACAUCUGUUCCAUCCCUGGCUUCUAGAUGCCCAGGGAACGACCCCAGGUGGGGCUGACCCCCAUCUCCGUCACCCGCCUGAGUGCUCUAACCCGGUCGGGCUCCGGCUGUCCCGUCCUGAGCUCAUGACCUAAGACUGGCAGGGGCAAAGCAAGGCCCCCAGCUUUGGAGUAUGGAGGAGGGAAAGGAAGACCCUUCUGGGUGAGCCACGUGAACCUGAACCUGAAAGUGGAGCGGCUGCAAGGGAAGAUGAUGACAUAGGUAGAGCUCAGGUGGAGAAAAUCCCAGAGAGAUGGUCAGCCUCUGACUGGUCAGCUUGAGCCCAACCUGCUUCCAGAGGUUUCGGACAGGUGAGCCAAGGAAUCGAUUUUACUAUUUAAGCUGGUUUCCAUCGAGACUUUGUUACCGGUUGCUAAAAGCAUCCUGACAAAUGUGAACACCUGAGGACUCUCUCCUGUGUAAACUGAGCUUGUCAACUUAGUGGGAGCAGAAACCGGGGCGCCUGGGUGGCACAGUCGUUUAAACGUCCAGCUCGGGGAUUUGUUCAGGGUGUGAUCUCACGGCUCAGAAGUUCGGGCUCUUUGCUGACAGUGAGAAGCCUGUUUGGGAUUCUCUCCCUCUCUGCCCCUCCCGCCUGCGUUCACUGUCUCAAAAUUGCAGGAGUUAAUGAUUGCAACAAGUUAACUUGUUGUUAACGCCAACAAGUGGUGUUAGAAAAUGGAGUUUCUGGUAAAUGGUGCUUCUUGCUGUGCCUCAGUCUCUGAAUCUAUGAAGAGGCUGACUCGUGAUAAGUGCUGCAACCCCCUCACAGGCCUGCAGCCACUGUGGGAAGACCCGACCACACCACACACUGGGAAGCCAUGGGAGGGGUUAUGUGAAACCGCUCCCUUCUGGGAUCAAAGUUCUUCAAGCCUUAAGUGAGGUUCUCCUGAGCGAGGGGGACCUGGGGUGGAAGGCUUCACUCGGAGUUCUAGGAACACCUCACAGAGCUUGUUUCUUGCUGGAAACUGCGUGCCCCGUCCCCCGGGACCCUGGGGUGAAGACGCUGCACUCCCCCUUCUCAGGUUUCCAAGAAAUGCAGCUUGGAGGAAGGCAGUCAUCCCCAGGUCAUCGAGGUUCUUUCCGGCUUUCUGUUCCACCUCCUUGCUGCCUCCUGGUCACAAGAGGGCAGCCAAGCUCCAGGCGUCUGGACUCCGGAAGUGGUGGGCUGGCCCAGGCAGCGGGGAGACCAGGGAGGAAGACCUGUCCCAGAAGCACCCAGUCUGAGCUCCUAAUCUUAGCAUGUGCCCACCCCCAAUUGGGGACCACGGGUCUCUGUCCCUGAGAUCAAAGGACUGCCACCCGAUCCCCAUGAGGAGGAACUGGAGAAACCCUUGUGUCUUCUUUCUCAGCCUAGGAGGACAGAUGUCCACCAUGCAGAGGCCCAGAACACGCUUAGCAUUCCACAUGCCAAGACCCCGAUGGGGGCAGCACCUGUUGAACAACCCCUGCCAAGUCACGUGGUUUUGUAUCAGUUCAGCUGGAAACUCCAACAAAACCCCACAAGGUACAAGUUGGAAAGGUCCCCUCCUGUCAAUUUCAGUGACCUGACCCUGCCCCUGAGCUUGGUCACUAGGCUUCUGCACUCCCGGCCCAAGCCCAGCAGGGGGCGUGCUUAGCGGUUACCACCAGGGCUCUUGCCGGUGUUCCAAUGUGGGCCGUCACAACCCUCUCUGGCCUGGCUUUGUUCCAUAGGGGCACCUGGGUGGCUCAGUGGGUUAAGCGUCCAACUCUCGAUUUUGGCUCAGGUCACGAUCCCACGGCUGUGACACUGAGCCCCAUGUUGGACUCCAUGCUUUGAGCAGAGAUUCUUGGGAUUCUCGCUCUCUGCUCCUCCCCCACUCACACUCUCUCGAAAUAAACAAGUAAACAUUAAAAAUAAAUAAAUACAAUGUGGCUAUGCCAGUUCCAACCCUAUAGGGUUGCUAUGAGUAGUUAAUGCCUAUUGACUGCUUGUGCUGGUGCCUGGUCCAGGAUUCUCACCGUAGUGCAGCAAAGGUGUGGCUACAGCACCCUUCCUGGGACCCUGAGGGGACUGACAUUACGGUGGUGCCUUUCAAACUUUUUUUUUUAGUUUAUUUUUCGAGAGAGAGAGAGAACAUGUGCAAGUGGGGGAAGGACAGAGAGAGGGGGAGAGAGAGAAUCCCUAGCAGGUUCCACACAGUCAGCACAGAGCCCGACGUGGGGCUCAAACACACGAACUGUGAGAUCAUGACCUGAACCCGAAAUCAAGAGUCGGAAACUUAACCGACUGAGCCACCCAGGUGCCUCUCGAAUUUUUUCUGAUCAUGACCCACAGUGAUAUAUACUAUGACCUAGUACACGCCCCCACGUAUAUCUGAAACCUAGGUAUCGUGACACAUGCAAAAUAUUUUCUCUGGGUUCAAUUUUUCAAAUGCCAGUUGUGACCUACUAAAUUGAUUUUUACAGCCAUUGAUGGGCUCUGACCCUCAAUUUGAAACACUGCUCUAGACCAUACUUCCUUCCUUUUUCUGAACGGACCUCGUCUAUUAGUUUCCUGUCACUGCAGGAGCAACCUGCCACAAAUAGGGCGGCUGAAAACGCAAACAUGUUCUCUUACGUUUCUGGAGGUCAGAGUCUCCUGUCUCAGCAGGCAGCGUGGCGUUCCUUCCAGAGGCUCCAGGGGAGACCUGGUUUCCUGGUCUUUGCCAGCUUCCAGAGGCUGCGGGCGUUCCUUGGCUCCGUGGCCCAGCAGCUCUCUAACCUGUGGCCACAUCUCUGACUCACCUGCCUGCCUCCCUCUCAUAAGGAUCCCUGGGAUACCGGGCCCAGCUGGAUAAUCCAGGAUCCUCUUCCUGACUGGAGCUCUUAAUUAUAUCUGCAAAGUUCACAAGUUCCAGGGAUUAGGACAUGGACAUCUUGGUGGGGGGGCAUUAUUCUACCUACCGCACCCAGUUUCUAAUUAUACAUGCAUAAACAAGCAACCUAACCUCAUAAUUUAUAUACUGAUCUACACAGGACUUGAGUCCACGUGGGGUCGCUCGUGCCUCAGCCACACUGCAGGCACCUGGGGAAACCCUGGCCCUUCACACCAUUGCCUCCAGAGUGGGGCACACAUGGCUUCGGGGCCAAACUGAAGAGUCAUGCCUAAGCAAUUAACCUGGGUUCUGAGGCAGAUUUCGGAUUUUCUCAGAAUACUCUGCAAAUAACUAUUAAAUUUUUCUUCACGUAGCAAGAGCCUUCAUAUGUGGUUUCCAUUCUACCCCACUGUUAAUAAGGGUCUGCGGGGCUAUUACGGCGUCUGUGCAAAGCCUAAAAGCAAACCUCAGCUUUACUAACAGGAAUUACCAAUUCCUGUUUUUACUGCCAUUUUACAGGUGAGGAGACUGAAGCUCAGAGAGGUUAACUGUAUCGCUCAAGGUCACACAACCUGGCAGAACUAUAACCUGCCAUCAGAGCCCAAAGGCUUGAAUCAAAGGGCUUUGGCAGUCACCCAGAGGCUCUCCAGAUGGGUAAUAAUUGUGGCCCCAGGCAUGGCCUGAGUCUCGGAGCUAGUGAGAGGAAGAGGGGUGCAUAGUAUAUAGCCCCCAGCACUGCAGGGCUGUGGGUUUCUGUCUGUCCUCACUGGGAUGGGCCUUCCUCCCUGGGGGAGACAUGGCCCAAGUUAUAAAACAAACAAACAAAAAAACCCACUCUGGCUAAAUUACUGGAGGCAAAGUUAGAAAUGUUUCUCUGUUGCUGUUGUUUCUCUCGUGGAAUACAUUUCUCUAAAAACCUCUGGGCCUGUUGGCCAAACCAUGUGAUUUAAUUAAACUAAAAGACUUAUAGCUAA